rnacentral:rRNA from 1 species
UUCUGUUUAACUUAGUGGCGGACGGGUGAGUAAUGUGUGAGCAACCUGCCUUACAGAGGGGGAUAACACUCUGAAAAGAGUGCUAAUACCGCAUGAAGCGAGAAUAUCGCAUGAUAAUUUCGUUAAAGGAGCAAUCCGCUGGAAGAUGGGCUCACAUCCGAUUAGAUAGUUGGUGAGGUAACGGCUCACCAAGUCGACGAUCGGCAGCCGGACUGAGAGGUUGAACGGCCACAUUGGAACUGAGAUGCGGUCCAGACUCC